rnacentral:rRNA from 1 species
GCGAGACCUUCGGGUCUAGCGGCGGACGGGUUAGUAACGCGUGGGAACGUGCCCUUCUCUACGGAAUAGCCUCGGGAAACUGAGAGUAAUACCGUAUACGCCCUUCGGGGGAAAGAUUUAUCGGAGAAGGAUCGGCCCGCGUCUGAUUAGAUAGUUGGUGGGGUAAUGGCCUACCAAGUCUACGAUCAGUAGCUGGUUUUAGAGGAUGAUCAGCAACACUGGGACUGAGACACGGCCCAGACUCCUACGGGAGGCAGCAGUGGGGAAUCUUAGACAAUGGGCGAAAGCCUGAUCUAGCCAUGCCGCGUGUGUGAUGAAGGCCCUAGGGUCGUAAAGCACUUUCGCUGGGGAAGAUAAUGACUGUACCCAGUAAAGAAACCCCGGCUAACUCCGUGCCAGCAGCCGCGGUAAUACGGAGGGGGUUAGCGUUGUUCGGAAUUACUGGGCGUAAAGCGCGCGUAGGCGGAUUAGAAAGUUGGGGGUGAAAUCCCAGGGCUCAACCCUGGAACUGCCUCCAAAACUACUAGUCUAGAGUUCGAGAGAGGUGAGUGGAAUUCCGAGUGUAGAGGUGAAAUUCGUAGAUAUUCGGAGGAACACCAGUGGCGAAGGCGGCUCACUGGCUCGAUACUGACGCUGAGGUGCGAAAGUGUGGGGAGCAAACAGGAUUAGAUACCCUGGUAGUCCACACCGUAAACGAUGAAUGCCAGUCGUCGGCAAGCAUGCUUGUCGGUGACACACCUAACGGAUUAAGC